rnacentral:tRNA from 1 species
AGGCCUGUAGCUCUAAUUGGCAGAGCAUCGGACUCCAAAUCCGAGGGUUGUAGGUUCGAAUCCUACCAGGCCUG